UACAGAGGGUGCAAGCGUUGCUCGGAAUUAUUGGGCGUAAAGGGUAGGUAGGUGGUCUCGUUUGUCUGGGGUGAAAGCCUUGAGCUUAACUCAAGAAGUGCCUCGGAAACGGCGAGACUAGAGUCUUGGAGAGGGUCGUGGAAUUCCCGGUGUAGCGGUGAAAUGCGUAGAGAUCGGGAGGAACACCAGCGGCGAAGGCGGCGACCUGGACAAGUACUGACACUCAACUACGAAAGCGUGGGGGAGCAAAACAGG
rnacentral:rRNA from 1 species